AAAUAUUCGUUGACCAAUGAAUGUUCACAAUACUACGCUGAGACGUGCAUAAGUUCUUACUCUUUCUACCACACUCACAAACUCUCGCACACACACUUCGCAUACUCUCCAAACAUUUGAAUAUUCUCUGUCAUUAACAUGCUCACGUCACUUUGUCACAAACGACAGAAAGCAAAUUAUACUCAGUAAAAAAAUCAGUCAAACUAAUUCCCUGAACAAAAAAAAUGAAUCGAAAAAUCUGGACUGCAGAAAAAAAGCAAAAUCUCUAAAUAAAUGUGAUUGGUAAAAUGAUUUAAUUGCAUUGGAUACAAGCAUACAUUGACAUACAUUUCCGUUUUGUUUCGUACAAAACGUUUUUUUGGAGACUGUGUAUGAAGUGACCAUCGAUUUGCACUCAUAAAAUCGCAGCGCUAAAUUCGACGCGUCAUUGUUGACAGUGUGCAUGUAUUCUUUUCAUCGACGACAAUUGUGGCGAACAAACGUUUAAUGAACACACCACUGUAUAGUAGCCAUUUUUUAUUUGCAAAACAACAAAGAACAUUUUGAUUCGACGUAAUUGGAAUUGGAUUUUCUUAUAGUGAACAAAUUUCAUUUUCGAUCACCAUCAAAGUAAAAAAUAGAUCGUUUUGUAAAACACCAUCGAAAGGCGUCAGAAAUCACUGGUUGAUAAUGCGAAAAUCUAAAAAGUGAGUCGAUCGAAAAAAUACUUAACGGUAAUGAUUUUCUCUCAACGAAAGCUCUUGAUACAUUAAAAAGAUAAACAUGAUUCUGCAGAAUCGUCGGAAAACAUGCUUGCCUUUUUGAAAGAAAAAAAAAUAAAUUUAAAAAGUUCACCCUUGUGUGAACUACUGAAUAUCAAAAAUCAAAGUAAAGUAGUGAGUACGCAAAAUACGCUUACGUACAUAGAUACUCCGUUGUUGACAUUGACAUUGACAUUCGUUUGCAUUUGUUCAGUUUGCAUGAUUUUGUAGGUCAAUUAUUUUUAAAGUGAGAACGAAAAAUGUUGUCAUUAGCGAUUUUAAAAAGACAACUGGUUGACAAGAAACUAUUUUCGAGAUUGAUUGUUCGCAACUUUGUAGUCGGCCGGAAUCUGAAUAAAAGCAAGUCACAAUUUAACUUAAAGCGUUUUGUCAAAGGAACAUUCCUUGGUGUCACUGCUGGAGCCAUUGCAUAUGACGGAUAUAAUGAGUUUCAGGUUUAUGGCGGAGUUUCACGAUUCUUACGCUCGUUAAAAAUUGCUGCAUUGAUUUCCAUUGACUAUUCUUGGCAUUUAUAUGGGUUAACUGAUGAAAGCGAGGAAUAUGAACAAAUUCUAAAGAAAAUACACUUGCGUAGUGCCAAUCGACUACUGAAUGGAUGUCUAGCAAACGGUGGGCUCUAUAUCAAAAUUGGGCAGGGGGUUUCUGCAAUUAAUCAUAUUUUGCCAUCCGAAUAUACGGACACGCUUAAGAAAUUGGAGGCAAGUGCAAUGAGAAUUAAAAUGAGAAUGCUCAUUAACCCUCGGACGGCCAAGCGGGGUCCGCACGGAUCCCAGCGUCCAAAAAUUCAAUUUUUUUUCUCAAGAAAUCAACAUUUCUCUUUAGAAUGUAAAAGGUUUAUAUAUUCUUGGCAUAAUACAGCAAGAAGUUUCAAAAUCUC